rnacentral:tRNA from 1 species
UAAGCUUCAGUUAUUAGUAAUAUAACCUUGUCGAGGUUAGGAUUGAGAGCUUAA